rnacentral:rRNA from 1 species
CCUACGGGCGGCAGCAGUGGGGAAUAUUGGACAAUGGGGGGAACCCUGAUCCAGCCAUGCCGCGUGUGUGAAGAAGGCCCUCGGGUUGUAAAGCACUUUCAGUGAGGAAGAACGCCUGGUGGUUAAUACCCAUCAGGAAAGACAUCACGCACAGAAGAAGCACCGGCUAACUCCGUGCCAGCAGCCGCGGUAAUACGGAGGGUGCGAGCGUUAAUCGGAAUUACUGGGCGUAAAGCGCGCGUAGGUGGCUGGAUAAGCCGGUUGUGAAAGCCCCGGGCUCAACCUGGGAACGGCAUCCGGAACUGUCAAGCUAGAGUGCAGGAGAGGAAGGUAGAAUUCCCGGUGUAGCGGUGAAAUGCGUAGAGAUCGGGAGGAAUACCAGUGGCGAAGGCGGCCUUCUGGACUGACACUGACACUGAGGUGCGAAAGCGUGGGUAGCAAACAGGAUUAGAUACCCGGGUAGUC